AGUGAACGCUGGCGGUAGGCCUAACACAUGCAAGUCGAACGGCAGCACAGUAAGAGCUUGCUCUUACGGGUGGCGAGUGGCGGACGGGUGAGGAAUACAUCGGAAUCUACUUUUUCGUGGGGGAUAACGUAGGGAAACUUACGCUAAUACCGCAUACGACCUACGGGUGAAAGCAGGGGAUCUUCGGACCUUGCGCGAUUGAAUGAGCCGAUGUCGGAUUAGCUAGUUGGCGGGGUAAAGGCCCACCAAGGCGACGAUCCGUAGCUGGUCUGAGAGGAUGAUCGGCCACACUGGAACUGAGACACGGUCCAGACUCCUACGGGAGGCAGCAGUGGGGAAUAUUGGACAAUGGGCGCAAGCAUGAUCCAGCCAUACCGCGUGGGUGAAGAAGGCCUUCGGGUUGUAAAGCCCUUUUGUUGGGAAAGAAAAGCAGCAGGUUAAUACCCAGCUGUUCUGACGGUACCCAAAGAAUAAGCACCGGCUAACUUCGUG
rnacentral:rRNA from 1 species